rnacentral:rRNA from 1 species
AGAGUUUGAUCCUGGCUCAGAACUAACGCUGGCGGCGUGCCUAACACAUGCAAGUCGUACGAGAAAGUCGGCUUCGGCUGAUGAGUAAAGUGGCGCACGGGUGAGUAACGCGUGGAUAAUCUGCCUUUUAGUUGGGAAUAACGUACCGAAAGGUGCGCUAAUACCGGAUAAUACUGCAUAACUACUGUUGUGUAGUCAAAGAAGGCCUCUGUUUACAAGCUUUUGCUGAAAGAUGAGUCCGCGUACCAUUAGCUAGUUGGUAGGGUAAUGGCCUACCAAGGCUACGAUGGUUAGCUGGUCUGAGAGGAUGAUCAGCCACACUGGAACUGAGACACGGUCCAGACUCCUACGGGAGGCAGCAGUGAGGAAUAUUGCGCAAUGGGGGCAACCCUGACGCAGCAACGCCGCGUGAGUGAGGAAGGUUUUCGGACCGUAAAGCUCUGUCGAGUGGGAAGAAAUGUAUUGUGGCUAAUAUCCAUGAUAUUUGACGGUACCGCUAAAGGAAGCACUGGCUAACUCCGUGCCAGCAGCCGCGGUAAUACGGGGGGUGCAAGCGUUGUUCGGAAUUAUUGGGCGUAAAGAGCGUGUAGGCGGCUGAAUAAGUCAGAUGUGAAAUCCCUGGGCUUAACCCAGGAAGUGCAUUUGAAACUAUUCAGCUUGAGUAGGGGAGAGGAAAGUGGAAUUCCUGGUGUAGAGGUGAAAUUCGUAGAUAUCAGGAGGAACACCGGUGGCGAAGGCGACUUUCUGGCCCUAUACUGACGCUGAGACGCGAGAGCGUGGGUAGCAAACAGGAUUAGAUACCCUGGUAGUCCACGCUGUAAACGAUGUUCACUAGGUGUUGGGGGUAUUGACCCUCUCAGUGCCGCAGCUAACGCAUUAAGUGAACCGCCUGGGGAGUACGGUCGCAAGAUUAAAACUCAAAGGAAUUGACGG